CACUGGAACUGAGACACGGUCCAGACACCUACGGGUGGCAGCAGUCGAGAAUCAUUCGCAAUGGUGGAAACCCUGACGAUGCGACGCCGCGUGGAGGAUGAAGGCCUUAGGGUUGUACACUCCUGUCAAGAGGGAAUAAGCAAGUGAAGGUACCUCUAGAGGAAGGGGCGGCUAAUUCCGUGCCAGCAGCCGCGGUAACACGGAAGCCCCGAGCGUUGUUCGGAUUCAUUGGGCGUAAAGGGUGCGUAGGCGGCGCGGAAAGUCCGGCGUGAAAGGCAGAGGCUCAACCUCUGGACUGCGUUGGAUACUUCCGUGCUUGAGGACUGGAGGGGAGACUGGAAUUCACGGUGUAGCAGUGAAAUGCGUAGAUAUCGUGAGGAAGACCGGUGGCGAAGGCGAGUCUCUGGACAGAUCCUGACGCUGAGGCACGAAGGCUGGGGGAGCGAACAGGAUUAGAUACCCUGGUAGUCCCAGCAGUAAACGAUGUGAGCUUGAUGUGGGGGGAUUCGACCCCUUCCGUGUCGAAGCUAACGCGAUAAGCUCACCGCCUGAGGAGUACGGCCGCAAGGCUAAAACUCAAAGAAAUUGACGGGGACCCGCACAAGCGGUGGAGUAUGUGGCUUAAUUCGAUGCAACGCGAAGAACCUUACCUGGCCUUGACAUGCAUUGUGUCGUCGGUGAAAGCCGGCUAGUCCUGGAAACAGGACGCUUUGCACAGGUGCUGCAUGGCUGUCGUCAGCUCGUGUCGUGAGAUGUUGGGUUAAGUCCCGCAACGAGCGCAACCCUUGUGGUCAGUUACUAACCGGCUUAGCCGGAGGACUCUGGCCAGACUGCCCUGUCAAACGGGGAGGAAGGUGGGGACGACGUCAAGUCAGUAUGGCCCUUAUGGCCAGGGCUGCACACGUACUACAAUGCCCGGUACAAUGUGAACCGAAACCGCGAGGUGGAGGAAAUCGCUCUUGAAAACCGGGCCCAGUUCGGAUUGGAGUCUGCAACUCGACUCCAUGAAGUCGGAAUCGCUAGUAAUGGCGUAUCAGCAACGACGCCGUGAAUACGUUCCCGGGUCUUGUACACACCGCCCGUCACAUCAUGGAAGUCUCCUGUACCCGAAGCACGUGCGCCAACCUUUUAGGAGGCAGCGUUCGAAGGUAUGGGAGGUAACUGGGAUGAAGUCGU
rnacentral:rRNA from 1 species